AAUUGUAAAUAUCUGAUAUGCAGGGUAUGAUUCGUGACCCCUGUGAAAGGUCAUUCGACCCUAAACGGGUCUUGACCUACAGACUGGGAGCCACUGCCCUAGUAGGACAAACUCCCAGUUGCUCCCCUUCUUACAUCUAGCAGUGGAGCAAGUCCUGUCCUGGCAAAGGCCCCAGAGUCCCUGCAGCCUCCAGGUUACUACAGUAGCUCACAGCAUGGAGUUUCUCAGUGGCCAAACCAGAGAAACUGAGGGUCUGACACAUACAUACUAUUUAACCUGGUGUUUGAGCUGACUGAGUCAAGGUCUUAAAGGUGACCAUUGCCAAGCCUACUCAGACAGAGGCAGGUUGUAGGAUGACCACUGCAUGUCUGGCAGGCUGACAGCAUAGAAACCAUGGCCUUCCCUAGCCUGUCUGGAGCUAUAAGGGCACAGGUAUCCAGGACAGGUGUUCCCAGGGCUAUGGCACAGCCAUGCCAAGGGUUGUGCCUUGUCACCAGUUGAGUGUGGUCUGGGCCACAGUUCUCCCCCACACACAAGUGCCGACAAAGUCACCCUGGCUGUGGGUGUGAUGAAUGGCCGCACAGUAAUGAAAUGGAGACAUCAAGGCGGGUGGCGGGAAGACAGAGUGUGGCGGACAGGCCGUCCCCAUGUGGCGGCAACAAGAAGGAUCGCCCAGCGGCCAGGGGCCGUCAAGGGAGAAAUUACACAUUUACUCUGCCUUUUUCUUACUGCGACGGCGCCCAUACAUCACCGCUGGGGCCAGGAUGGGACACAGCGGCCAAUUUCCAGUAUGAAUUAUGGGACUGAGAAGCACCGAGUCCAGGCUUCCUGCAGGCCCAGUAUCACCCAGCCCAAUCCAAGGCCAGAAAUGUUGCCAUCAGAGCCAGAGAUGCCCUCCUCAGGCCUAUGGCUCCUGAAUCUGGCCCAUCUGAAUGUCUUCUUUUCUUUCUAGAUGAUUGCAAGAACAUUGCCAACAUCAUGAAGACAUUGGCAUACCGAGGCUUCAUCUUCAAGCAGACAUCAAAGCCCUUCUGAUUGGCAGAGGACAGGAUGGGGCAGGACAGGGUAGCUGCUUGGCCCAAACCAGAAUCAUCCUCUCCCUCACCAGAGGGAAAAGGGAGAGUGGCACAGCUCUGCGCCCAGAGUGUCCCCCAGCUGCCCUACAGGCUUGUGCCCUGUGUGAGGGCUUGGCCACUUGGCCCCUCUGGAGCAGACACUUUGUGCCCCACCCCACUCCCAUUCCUCAGUCUCAGCCCAGUAUUAGCCCCUGCCAUUAUGGGCCUGGGCUAGGGGGAACCCAGGUACUCACUGCCUUCUCCCUGGUACACAGGCUUCUGCUGGGGCCACCAAGCCCUCCCUGUGCCCCUCCCAUCCAUAGUGCAUGGUGUGUGGUGCCCCCAGGGCUCCAGGACAGAUCAGGCCCCACCUUGUGUCCACCCCCCACCCCCAAAAUCCCUGCUGUGAACGUGCCACUUGAAUAAAGUCGGGGAAACAAGGUCCUAGUGUGCAAUGAA
rnacentral:lncRNA from 1 species